rnacentral:rRNA from 1 species
UACAGAGGGUGCGAGCGUUAAUCGGAAUUACUGGGCGUAAAGGGCGCGUAGGCGGUGUGUCAAGUCAGGCGUGAAAGCCCCGGGCUCAACCUGGGAACCGCGCUUGAGACUGGCAGACUCGAGUUCGGGAGAGGAUGGUGGAAUUCCCAGUGUAGAGGUGAAAUUCGUAGAUAUUGGGAAGAACACCGAUGGCGAAGGCAGCCAUCUGGACCGACACUGACGCUGAGGCGCGAAAGCGUGGGGAGCAAACAGG